ACAUUUGCCUCAGCUGUGCCAUUUCUCCUGGCGACAUAGAAGAUAAUACCUGCUUUGUUGAUGAAGACUUUAAUAUCCUGUCUCCUCAAAAAUGACAAAACUUUGUCCAGAGAAAGACAAAGAACAACAUUUUAGGAAAUUUACACCAUUUGAUUUAUUUCCAGCCUUAAGACCCACAAAGGGCCAUAAAGAGCCAGGUGGCUUUACUCUGAGCAAUAAGUUUUACCUCAGAAUAUGUUUUUCCUGUCAUCUGGAGAACUUCUUUUCACUUUAUUCAUGUACGUUUCCCUAUUAUUUCAGGAAUUUCUUUAUCGAACCUUUACCUCAGAAAAGCCUUGUGAAAUAGAAAGAAGAAAAUGCCAAUUGUAUUUAUUAAGAGAUGGUUAUCUCAGACUUUACCUCAGAAAUGGCAGAGCCUUGUGAAACGGAAGGGAGAAACAAAGGCAAAACUUUUGAAAAUUAGCACAGCUUUUUCUGAAGGGACGAGAUAAAUAGUGUUGCGUUUUAUUUAUUAUAAUCUGGUUUAUUUCUUGCCAAAGACCCUCAUGGAGCCAGAAGAGCCACAUUUCUUUCAGCCACAACUUUUACCUCAAGCAAUCCAGAUCUUUUUACUUUAUUCGUGUCUGUUUCCUGAUUAUUUUAGUAAUUUCUUUCUUUACCUCAAACUUUUACCUCAGAAACCGCAAAGCCUUUCUCCAUCGAAGGAUAAAAGCCUUGUGAAGUAGAAAAUCAUUUCUAUUUUAGAAAUUUCUUUAUCGAACCUUUACCUCAGAAAAGCCUUGUGAAAUAAAACGAAGAAAAUGCCAAUUUUAUUUAUUAAGAGAUUGUCAUCUCAAACUUUACCUCAGAAAUGACAAAUCCUUGUGAAACGGAAGGGAGAAACAGAGACAAUUUUUUUGAAAAUUAGCACAGCUUUUUCUGAAGGGACCAGCGCUGAAUUCAAGUCAAAGUGAAGAAAGGGAAGAAACAAAAGGUCGAAGAGACAGAAGACGGAAGAUGCUUGAAGACACUCUCGCAAGGACACCGCCCGCCCCCCAAAAAGGUCAUUGUCAGGGUAAUGGGUGUAAGGCUAGGCAUUUAAUGUCUAUCUUUGCAAUAAAAAACAGGCUACCUGUGUGCUAGGCUUUUGCAUGAAGAACACGGUUCCCCUCGUGUGUGGCAUCGAAGUUUCCCACUCGGGAACGGACGGGUCCUCCCUUUGUUCUAGGCAGAUGAUGGGGGUUUUCCUAUACAAGCCGUAGGGGCCACAGCUUGGGGGGCAGCGGGGGGCCCGGCCCUGGCACCGCGGGGAGCAGCACACGUUACGGGCAUUUUAAAAGCUCCCUUAAACUUAGACAGUGGCUAGUAAUAAAAAUAUUAAUACCUUAACUCACCUACUAACGCUACUAACACCAUUCUAACUAGGGCAGCCUGGCCUUUUAAAUAGGACUGUGUUUUGCCUGCUGGCAAGAACCAAGCUGGGAGGGAAGGGGGCCUCCUGGCCCCCCGUAGAAGGGCUCCCCUAGAAGGACAUUCAAAAUGCCCGCAAGGUGUCCUGAGAGCAGCCCCUGGGGCCCUCAGUGUGCCCCCCACGGUGCCAGGGCUGGGCCCCCCGCUCUCCCCCAACCCAUGACCCCUGCCGCCUGUAUAGCGUCCGCCCAGGGCCAACGGACGCCCCCUCCCUCCCCGGGCGGAGCUUCGGCGCCACACACAAGGGGAGGCCAGCCGUGGCCGCCAGAACAUGGCCAACCUGGUUUUUGACUGCAAACAUAGGCAUGUAGGGACCCCCUUUUAUUUAUGUAAGGCCACCCACCCAGGGGACCUCUGUUCCUAAUUAAAGCCUGGUUAAAGGGGAUCCUCUAUUCUUAAAGUAAGGCCUAUAGAGAUCUCCUAUCCAGAAACUAAGGCGGCCUGGCCUAUAGAGAUCUCUUGUU